UACGGGGGGCGCAAGCGUUGUUCGGAUUUACUGGGCGUAAAGGGCGCGUAGGCGGUCAGCACAAGUCAGUUGUGAAAUCUCCGGGCUUAACCCGGAGCGGCCAAGUGAUACUGUUGUGCUAGAGUGCGGAAGGGGCUACUGGAAUUCUCGGUGUAGCGGUGAAAUGCGUAGAUAUCGAGAGGAACACCGGCGGCGAAGGCGGGUAGCUGGGCCGACACUGACGCUGAGGCGCGAAAGCCAGGGAGCGAACGGG
rnacentral:rRNA from 1 species